rnacentral:lncRNA from 1 species
UCGGUUAUGGAGACUCAUCCCGGUGACCAUCAUCGUAGUUAGCAAGUGAAAUAUGAGAAUGAAUAAAAUGGAGCUAGUAUAGGCCAAGUGCUUGAACUAGAUCAGGCAAAUAUAGAUUCAGGUAAUAACCUAACUAGUGAAAUAAAACUUAGCUUAAGGAUCAACUGGUAGCAAGCUUUUCUGCAAAAAAGGAUCCUUUGAUCAUUGAUAAACUUUACCUUGACUCCCAAUCAGCUAGCAUACCCUUGAGAGUCUUUUCUUUAGUCGGGUAAGUCUUGCUGAGUAAUUGCGUACUCAGGGUUUUAUCCCCUAUUGUUUUUGCAGGAGAAGUUUUAUUCCCUUAUCUUUUGGUUAGUUACUUCAUGUGGAGGCCUUGAAGCUUAGAAUGUUUAUGUGUAUCUCUUAUGGAAAGGCUUCACCCUUCCUAUUAUUGUAAUAAAUUAUGCACUUUGGGUACUAUCAGGACUUGUAAUAAAUACAUCUCUUUCUACCUUGUAAAACUUGAGUUCUGGAAUGUAAAGUGUACUUUGUAAAAGUCUUCCGCUCUAUCUCCAAUGUGUGUGUAUCAAAUGUGAUUACUGUAAUAUAUCUGUUAUGUGGGAGAUCCUUGGGAUGAUGAGUUCCAGUUGGCGAACUCGAUAGCCUUGUUAAGUUACCCGGUACACGUGCACAGCCACCCGAGGCCAUUAAGGCAAGGAUUGGUGCACGUGGGCCCGAUAACUUGGGAGGGCUGUCACAGCGUGGUAUCGGAGCGAUCCCCCAUUAGCAUGAAUAUUAUAGUAAUGAUUUGAUAAACUUCAAAAUGAUUUUGAGUCUAAAUUAUUUUUAUAAACUCAAGAAUCUAUAAUCAAGGCUUGAUAGUAGAAGUGCAAAUAGUAUGUGGUUAAAACUAAGGACUAUCAGGUGGCCUAGUUUAAGAUGCUAACCACUAACCCACAACCUGGGAAGGGUAAUGCAUACAUGUGUAAUGUUAUUUUUAGUGCCAUUCAAUUUUGAAUGGAUCGACGCUAAGGUAAAGGUGAGUUGUGAGAGCAUGACCGAACAAACGUCGGUCUAGGGGAAUGCUUAAAUGUGGCACUAGACUAUAUACAUAUUCUACAUAUGUAUAUAUGAAGGUUGCAAUGUGGAGUAAUUACUUUUUUUAGGAUUCAGUACCCCAUGGAUGUGUAUGGGUAUACAAACAUGGGAGUGCUGAGAAGUGUAAUGAAUAGUUACCACAAUGGGCUGCCCUGUGGUUAAAGUGUGGCAGCGGCGCCUAUGCGUGGCUCGACGCUUAAUGAGGAGCUGGCCUCUAUAUAGAAAUAUAUGGAGUAUAAACUGUGACCAAAUGUGUGAAUUGCAUCAUGGGGUUUGGGUUGUAAUGGAAUUUUCUGCAGGUACACUGACUAAACUCUAGAAAAUUAUGACUAGUUAACUCCGGAGUGAGUAGGUAUGCCACCGCCAUAGAGCGUGCAAGCCACUAUAUGCUGGCAAGAUUGUGAGGACGAAUAGGACGAGCAUGCAUCAUGACAUAUAACUUUAAGUUAAACCCCCUAUGUAGUAGCUUUAGUACGUGUUUCAUCUACCCUGUUCAUGCUACCUGUCUUUGCCUUUCUAUGCUACCUGUCUUUGCCUUUCUAUGCUACCUUUCCCUUUUUUUAAAGACUGGAAGCCAAGUUUAGUUGGUGGGCAGAAUACCUUGCGCUGCAGCCAGAAGGACGUUAAGUUCUCGGGUUGAGUUCUGUGAGGUAUUUCGGGCACGUCAUGUUCCGGAAGCCCCUAUGUAAAUAAAGUUCAAAGCAUUUUUGGAUCUAAAGCAAGGUGAAGAAGCGAGUGUAAUGGACUAUUUGAGAGGUUUACUCGCCUAUCCCAGUAUGUUUUGGAUUAUGUGGAUGCCAGUGAAAAAAAAAGUAAUACAUCCUACGUGAUCUUAAUGUGAAACUUUAGCUCCUGAUGGCAAUUAGUUUGGCUGAUGGAUAUAAGAAGAUGGUCAGUCAGGCUAUUCUAGGAAAUUAUAAGAUUUGUCUACAUCAGGAGUUUAAGUGAAAGAAGUGAAGGAUAUACCUGAUGUGAGGGAGUUCUCGGAUAUGUUCCUCGAAGAUUUGACUAGUUGCCUCCAAAAAGGGAUGUGGAAUUGCGAUUGGGUUGCAGUCCAGGACUCCAUUCACCCUGAAGGUAGCAAUAGGUACCAAGGUUUGAAAUAGAGAUUUUGGUGGACCUAUAGCUUAUAAGGUACAAUUGCCAAAAGGACCUUCAACACUGCACGACAUGUUCCACGUGUCCCAAUGGAAGAAAUGUCUUCGAGUCCCCAAAUAUGGUAUUGAGAUUUUAGAUGUUAACCAUAAACCAGGUUUAACCUCCUCGGAAUAUCCCAUAAAGGUGUUAGAUCAAAAGGAUCGGGUCACUCGAAGAAAAGUUACCUAGUUUUACGAAAUACAGUGGAACUAACACCCGGAAGAUAAAGUCGCGUAGUAGUCAGAGAAGUAUUUAGAAAAGUAUAUUCCUAAGUUCCUAGUGUCUUGUAAACCCUAGGUUUGUAUAAAUUGUCUUUCGAUGGGGGCACACCCCCUGCCUUGUAGGAGUAAAUGGAAAAUAAACCGGUGACACAUUUUCUUUUCCAUUACUGAGUCUAGACUUUUAAUCUCGGGACGAGAUUUCUUUUUAGGGGGGAAGGCUGUAACACCCCUGGUGUUACGAUUACUAAAACUCUGACAUGUCAUCAUCAGCAUUUGCAUUAACUUGCUUGAUACACUUAGAAUGCAUUCACUAGGAUCCAAAAUAAUCUAAGUAUGAUGUUGUGAUUAGUGAAGAGUGGAGGACCUGGUUUUGAAAAUCUCAAUUUAGAGCUCCAAAAGUGGAACUUGUGAUUUGGCAAUAAUUUGCCAAAAGGUCAAAUUACCAAAUUUAUAGAGUUCUCCAACCCAAACAACUUUUAAGUAUAGAGAUUUCCAUGUUUUAUAGGAAGAAGUGGAGAAAACUCAAAAAUUAACUUUUUGGACAUAAGAUUGGAUGGCUGGAAACAAUAUCAAGUAGUUGUAUUUGAAUCUUCAUAACUUUUGAUAUAUAGGCAAUUUGAAGAUAGUCACAGUAGCAAAGCUGUAGAGCUACACUAGAUGUGUAAAUUUGUUUAAGCUACGUAACCCUAAAUUCAUAUGGAACUAGGUGGAAACUGGUCCAAAGUGGGAAUGUCAGAAUCUGAAUUUCAGACUGCAAUGUCUGAAACUGAAGAUUUUAUAUGCUGAAGCAACUUUGGAAGCCUGUUGGUGGCUGAUCCAUACAGCUAUGGGUUACAGUUUAUGUACCAAAGUGGAAGACCACAUGUUGGGGUAUAAGUUUGGUUAAGGUUCAUACCCCUAAAACUAUUUGGAACUGGUAGAAACAGUGGUAAAAAAAUGUAGUGUUUAAUUUUGGAUUUUCAAACUUGGUGAAAAACCAAAGUCUGAAUUUGUGUGUUUAAUGCCAACUUUGGGCUUUGAUGGUUUGGAAUCCAUAUGGUUCUAGCUAAGGGUCAUUGUACCAAACUCGUGGAGCAACAUGUGGAGCACCAAUUUGAUUAAGCAACUUGGCCUCAGAAGUAUUUGGAACUUGGAGAAAAGGGCGAGGUUGUGUCGUUUCGAAGAGAGCAAGAGAAGUUCAGAGACCUUGUUUGAAAUCUAGUACAAGCAAACAACUUUUAAACCAAGGGAAAUUUGGACAUGAGCUAUAUACACCAAAGUUUGGUUUGAGCUUAAGGUUAACCUUGUUUUUAGUAGGAUGCAAUAAAUUGAUGAAGCACUUGAAGCAGAUCAAGUCCAAUUUCAACUCUAAACUAGCCCAAAAAUGGAUUUUAAGAUUUAGCUAUGUUUUGCUAAAAGUCAGUAUAUAAAAGUCGUGGAGCUUGGAAAAGUGAAUAAUUUUCAUAUUUGGAGCUCUCCAAGUGGUGUGGGAGAAUUUGAAGUAAAUUGCAAAAGUUCAGAUUUGGGUCAGUUUGGAAUCAGCCCAACACAGUUUUGUUUAUCUGUAUUUGGAUCCCUGUAACUUUUAAUCCAUGAGUAUUUUGGAAACAGUUGUUAUAACAAACCUGUAGAGUAACUAUAGGAGAACAAUGUUUAUGAAAUGUAGCAGCCCUAAAACCAUAUGCAACUAGGAGAAAAAGGUGUUCAAAGUGGGACUGUCAGACUUCAUGAUUUUCAGACUUUGAAUAGUUGCCUAAGUCUGAAAUCAUUGUUUUUAGUGCCAUUUUGGGGCUGUGUGUUGCCUGUUCUAGGAAGUUUUGGACCAUGGUUGCUAUGGGAGAGUUGAAGAGCAUAUGUCAGUGAACAAAUUUCGUUGUGUGAGUUAGGCUUGAUCUGACCCAGAACAUGGAGUACAAGUUACCCAAAGUGGGGCUGAUAGUUUUUUUCAGUUUUCAGACCAGGAACAGAAGGUUAAGUCUGAAUUGCAGUGUUUGUGCUGUUUUUGGAGCUCAUUUGUGGAAAAUCUAAGGAGCUUUGGGCUGAGACGUCUAUAGAGGAGUUAAAGACCACAAGUUAGUGUACAAAUUCAUUUAAUGAGAAUGGGUGUAAUCCUACGCAAAAUGUGGAGAAAAUGUGGCUCAAAAUUGGACUGUCAGUUUAAUUGGGCUGAAUUUUGUUCUAUCUCUGAAAUCUGAAUUUCAGUGUAGAAUGCCUAGUUUGGAGCUGUUUUGUGAUCAAUAUGAGUGGUUUUAGACUGUAGUUUCUAUAGAAAACUUGGAGACCACAGUAUGGCGAAUACGUUUCAUAAGGUGAGAUUGACAUGGUGCUACAUAAAAAGUAGAGUAAUGUUUGCCUAAAGAUCAGUUGUCAGGUGUUGGGGAUUUUCAAACAGUAAAACAUCUAAGUCUGAAUCUGUGUGUUUUUACCCACCUUUGGAGCUAUGUGGUAAUUAAUCCAAAGAUAUUUGGGUUAAGAGUUUGUAGCAAAAUGAGAGACCUGAUAUAGAUAAUCAAGGUUUGUGCAAUGAGUUGGCUUGCUACUGUAUAGAACUUGGAGAACAGCCUAUUGCAAAUCCCUCUGUCAGACUUAAACUGUGCUGUCCAGUUAGCUGAAUUUGGACUUUUCAGUAUUUAUACUCUACUUUAGCGCAUCACAACUUUUUAUUUGAAUAUUUCCAACCUAUGGGCGUUAUACCAAAGUGAAAGAACUAUGCUUAGGGAGUAAAUUUAGUUAAGGGAGAUGGGCCUGUUGCUAAGAGAAUUUGUGACAUAAAAGGGGAUCAAACAGAGAGCUGGGCAAUGGGCAGUGUGGCUGAUUCAGUGGAUUCAGAAGAUUGAAACUGUGUUUCAGUGAAGUAUAGCCGUUCAGAGGUUCCAAAUAUCUGAAGGAAAAAUUACCUUUCUCCAUGUGCUGGCCGAUGGCCUUUAUCCCCUAGCCGUUUCUCCUUAUCCCCUCCCUGCCACACAUUUUCUAUUAUCCUUAGGUCGACCAAAUCCUUAGAAUGCUCCUGUUCUUAUCCAGUUGAGGUCUAGAAGCUUACUCAUGUACGCUCCUUCUCAUGCAAGAAGACGUACUCAAUUUCUACUCUCUUCUAUCAGUCUCCUCACUCCUGUCUCUCAUGUCUCCUUUUCCUCCCACCGUUCCUGUCACCCACGCAGCACGCCGGAGCAGCUGUAGCAGUCGAGCUCGACAUCAGCUCCCUUGCUGCUCACUUUGCAGCACCUCGCCAGCUCCCUGGUAACACUCUGCACCUGCCGUCGAACUCUCUCAGGUUCGGUCAUCCCUGCUCCCUUCCAAAUCAACGCCCCUCCACUCGACUCUACUACUGUGUCGUGCGCGCGCUUCCUCCUGCUUCCGUCGCUGGGUGCGUGCUCAUCUUCCGUCGCGUGCCACCUGGUCGAUAGAAUGAGCAGUUUGGUCGUCCCCAUCUCGCCGUGGUUCGUCCUCACCAUGUUUUCAGAUGUGUUUGGGCUGAGAUGCCAUUCGAAAUCGAUGAUCUGUUCGUCGCCACCGGCCGCAAGCACCAGUUUUGUUGAACGUGAGAACGUCUUAAUCUGUUGAUAUGAGUUGAAAAUUGAUGUAUCGAUCUGUGGUUUGACCUAGUGUUCUCGUCAUGUCUAUGUUCUGGUCGAGGCCCUAGAUACGUGAUUGAAGAUCCUUUGUGGUGAUGAAGGUGAAAUCAGCAUAGCACUCGCCAAGCAUUCUACAGAAGGUCUGGACGAGAGAACCAUGUUGUUUCACGUUUUGUUGAGUCGGGUUGGAUUAGGGUGAGCUGAUUCAUUGCUCUGGCUAUUAGGUCUAAUUAAUAGGAUUGGAUUUUAGAAAUAAAAGUGCAGUGCCAAAAAAAUUAUGGCAAUUUUUGAAUAACCUUGUUUUGGUCAUUUAAGCACUUGGUAAAAUUUGGAGGCUAUUUGGAAAUCCUUUGCUUAGAAAGCCUUGUAAAGUCACAAAUAGGAUGGAUUAAUCCCUUUGGAAAAGAUGAAGUAAGUUUAUGGAUGAAAACUCAUGUGUUCUAGUCCCUUGGUAGUCAUAGUUUAUGGGUGUAGUCUGGUAAUGCUUUUUAAUAUUUUUUUGUUGCAAACUGCAUAAACAUAAGCAUCCAUGAUCAUAUCAUUUCAUACAGAGCCCUCAACAGAAGGAGUGAAGAUUCAAGAUGAAGUGGUAGCUGAAGAGGAGUUUGCUCUAGUGCCUGUUCAUCAAGUGGAUGUAGCCAUCUAACUGAUCAUCAUGGUAGAAGUAUCUAGAACCUCUUCUCUGCAACAAAGGCAAGCCCCGGUGCAUUUGCCCCUUCCUUGUGUUUUAAAUGCUUUAUCACCUUAAAUGAUGCAUUAGGUGAUAGGAGUUGUGUGAUGAACAAUUGAUGCAUUACCAUUCCUUGGAAUUUGAAUACUAUACCUUGAUCCCUGAUUUAUAAAAAGAACUGAUAAUGCUUAACCCUGCUUAGAAACUGAAAAAUCAUUUGUUUUCAAAAAGAAUGAUUGUGGAACAUUGGUUAUGGGCUUUUUGAUUCAAAAAUCAAAGCAAACUAAGGUGAUGACUCCACUUCGGCCGGAGUGGGCUCAUCAUUGGAAAAGAGUACCCCUGCCGGGUACCAAAAAUGGGGAAAUGGUUAAUAAAUCUAGACCAGGCGCUGAGCAGACAGAGUCGCCCGUCUAUGUCGAUCAAGGACCGUACCGUUGACUGGCCUGUUGUGGUUGAGACUUUGCAACUAGCCACAUACCCUGGUAUGGGACAGGGUAAGCUUGAACCCGGCUAUUCCAUACGUAAAGAGACAAUCGCGCACUGGGAGUGGAGAGAUGGUGGGAGUAGCAUGUACCCUCCUGGCAUAGUAGCACGCUUGAUAGGAUAAUGUGCUCUCGGGUGGCGCGGACCUGUUCAUGUAGUGGAGGACUCCGUGGGAACGGUUGACAUAUGCAAGGGUUAAGUGCUACAUAUGUCGUGUGGUUAGAGAUCCCCAGCUGGGUAUAAUCGGUUCGAAUCGUCGUUGCUCCUCGGUUAUGGAGACUCAUCCCGGUGACCAUCAUCGUAGUUAGCAAGUGAAAUAUGAGAAUGAAUAAAAUGGAGCUAGUAUAGGCCAAGUGCUUGAACUAGAUCAGGCAAAUAUAGAUUCAGGUAAUAACCUAACUAGUGAAAUAAAACUUAGCUUAAGGAUCAACUGGUAGCAAGCUUUUCUGCAAAAAAGGAGUCUUUGAUCAUUGAUAAACUUUACCUUGACUCCCAAUCAGCUAGCAUACCCUUGAGAGUCUUUUCUUUAGUCGGGUAAGUCUUGCUGAGUAAUUGCGUACUCAGGGUUUUAUCCCCUGUUGUUUUUGGAGGAGAAGUUUUAUUCCCUUAUCUUUUGGUUAGUUACUUCAUGUGGAGGCCUUGAAGCUUAGAAUGUUUAUGUGUAUCUCUUAUGGAAAGGCUUCACCCUUCCUAUUAUUGUAAUAAAUUAUGCACUUUGGGUACUAUCAGGACUUGUAAUAAAUACAUCUCUUUCUAC